AAUGAACGCUGGCGGCAGGCCUAAAACAUGCAAGUCGAACGCCCUAGCAAUAGGGAGUGGCGCACGGGUGAGUAACACGUGGGAAUAUGCCUUUUGGUACGGAACAACGUUUGGAAACGAACGCUAAUACCGUAUGGUCCCUCCGGGGUAAAGAUUUAUCACCAAAAGAUUAGCCCGCACUAGAUUAGCUAGUUGGUAAGGUAAUGGCUUACCAAGGCGACGAUCUAUAGCUGUUCUGAGAGGAAGAUCAGCCACACUGGGACUGAGACACGGCCCAGACUCCUACGGGAGGCAGCAGUUAGGAAUAUUGGACAAUGGGCGCAAGCCUGAUCCAGCCAUGCCGCGUGAGUGAUGAAGGCCUUCGGGUUGUAAAGCUCUUUAGCCGACGAAUAUAAUGACUGUAGUCGGAGAAUAAGCCCCGGCUAACUUCGUGCCAGCCGCCGCGGUAAGAC
rnacentral:rRNA from 1 species